GACAGAGGGGGCAAGCGUUGCUCGGAAUCACUUGGCGUAAAGGGCGCGUAGGCGGGAUGGCAAGUCGGUCGUGAAAUCCUUCGGCUCAACCGAAGAACGUCGGCCGAUACUGCCGUUCUUGAGGGAUGCAGAGGAGAUUGGAAUUCCCGGUGUAGCGGUGAAAUGUGUAGAGAUCGGGAGGAACACCGGUGGCGAAGGCGGGUCUCUGGGCAUCUCCUGACGCUGAGGCGCGAAAGCGUGGGGAGCAAACGGG
rnacentral:rRNA from 1 species